rnacentral:rRNA from 1 species
UACGUAGGGGGCGAGCGUUGUCCGGAAUUACUGGGCGUAAAGGGUGCGUAGGCGGCGAUGCAAGUCCAUUGUGAAAAGCCCGGGCUCAACCUGGGAGGUGCAGUGGAAACUGUAUGGCUUGAGUGCAGGAGAGGAAAGUGGAAUUCCUAGUGUAGCGGUGAAAUGCGUAGAUAUUAGGAGGAACACCAGUGGCGAAGGCGACUUUCUGGACUGUAACUGACGCUGAGGCACGAAAGCGUGGGGAGCAAACAGG